rnacentral:rRNA from 1 species
GUGGGGAAUAUUGGACAAUGGGCGAAAGCCUGAUCCAGCCAUGCCGCGUGUGUGAAGAAGGUCUUCGGAUUGUAAAGCACUUUAAGUUGGGAGGAAGGGCAGUAAGUUAAUACCUUGCUGUUUUGACGUUACCGACAGAAUAAGCACCGGCUAACUUCGUGCCAGCAGCCGCGGUAAUACGAAGGGUGCAAGCGUUAAUCGGAAUUACUGGGCGUAAAGCGCGCGUAGGUGGUUCGUUAAGUUGGAUGUGAAAGCCCCGGGCUCAACCUGGGAACUGCAUCCAAAACUGGCGAGCUAGAGUACGGUAGAGGGUGGUGGAAUUUCCUGUGUAGCGGUGAAAUGCGUAGAUAUAGGAAGGAACACCAGUGGCGAAGGCGACCACCUGGACUGAUACUGACACUGAGGUGCGAAAGCGUGGGGAGCAAACAGGAUUAGAAACCCGGGUAGUCC